rfam:TPA: Bos taurus chromosome 21, whole genome shotgun sequence.
GUCAUGGUGUGCGGGAUCUUUAGUUGUGGUGUGCAAACUCUCAGUUGCAGCUUGUGGGAUCCAGUUCCAUGACCAA